GACGGAGGAUGCAAGCGUUAUCCGGAAUGAUUGGGCGUAAAGCGUCCGCAGGUGGCAGUUCAAGUCUGCUGUCAAAGACCGGGGCUUAACUUCGGAAAGGCAGUGGAAACUGAACAGCUAGAGUAUGGUAGGGGCAGAGGGAAUUCCUGGUGUAGCGGUGAAAUGCGUAGAGAUCAGGAAGAACACCGGUGGCGAAAGCGCUCUGCUAGGCCGCAACUGACGCUGAGGGACGAAAGCUAGGGGAGCGAAUGGG
rnacentral:rRNA from 1 species